rnacentral:rRNA from 1 species
UACGGAGGGAGCUAGCGUUAUUCGGAGUUACUGGGCGUAAAGCGUACGUAGGCGGCUUUGUAAGUUAGAGGUGAAAGCCUGGAGCUCAACUCCAGAACUGCCUUUAAGACUGCUUCGCUUGAAUCCGGGAGAGGUGAGUGGAAUUCCGAGUGUAGAGGUGAAAUUCGUAGAUAUUCGGAAGAACACCAGUGGCGAAGGCGGCUCACUGGACCGGCAUUGACGCUGGAGUACGAAAGCGUGGGGAGCAGACAGG